AACGAACGCUGGCGGCAUGCCUAACACAUGCAAGUCGAACGAGACCUUCGGGUCUAGUGGCGCACGGGUGCGUAACGCGUGGGAACCUGCCUUUAGGUUCGGAAUAACUCAGAGAAAUUUGAGCUAAUACCGGAUGAUGUCUUCGGACCAAAGAUUUAUCGCCUUUAGAUGGGCCCGCGUUGGAUUAGCAAGUUGGUGGGGUAAAGGCCUACCAAGGCGACGAUCCAUAGCUGGUCUGAGAGGAUGAUCAGCCACACUGGGACUGAGACACGGCCCAGACUCCUACGGGAGGCAGCAGUGGGGAAUAUUGGACAAUGGGCGAAAGCCUGAUCCAGCAAUGCCGCGUGAGUGAUGAAGGCCUUAGGGUUGUAAAGCUCUUUUACCCGAGAUGAUAAUGACAGUAUCGGGAGAAUAAGCUCCGGCUAACUCCGUG
rnacentral:rRNA from 1 species